rnacentral:rRNA from 1 species
UACAGAGGUCUCAAGCGUUGUUCGGAUUCAUUGGGCGUAAAGGGUGCGUAGGCGGCGCGGUAAGUCGGGUGUGAAAUCUUGGAGCUUAACUCCGAAACUGCAUUCGAUACUGCCGUGCUUGAGGACUGGAGAGGAGACUGGAAUUUACGGUGUAGCGGUGAAAUGCGUAGAUAUCGUAAGGAAGACCAGUGGCGAAGGCGGGUCUCUGGACGACUCCUGACACUGAGGCACGAAAGCUAGGGGAGCAAACAGG